rnacentral:rRNA from 1 species
GCGAGGUGGUGCUAAUCCUAGAAAAUUCUUCGUAGUCCGGAUUGGAGUCUGCAACUCGACUCCAUGAAGUCGGAAUCGCUAGUAAUCGCGAAUCAGCAUGUCGCGGUGAAUACGUUCUCGGGUCUUGUCACACCGCCCGUCAUACCAUGGAAGUGGAUUGCACCAGAAGUAGAUAGUCUAACCUUCGGGAGGGCGUUUACCACGGUGUGCUUCAUGACUGGGGUAAAGUCGUAACAAGGUAGCCGUAGGGGAACCUGUGGCUGGAUCACCCUCCUU